rnacentral:rRNA from 1 species
GAUGAACGCUGGCGGCGUGCCUAAUACAUGCAAGUCGAGCGAACAGACGAGGAGCUUGCUCCUCUGACGUUAGCGGCGGACGGGUGAGUAACACGUGGAUAACCUACCUAUAAGACUGGGAUAACUUCGGGAAACCGGAGCUAAUACCGGAUAAUAUAUUGAACCGCAUGGUUCAAUAGUGAAAGACGGUUUUGCUGUCACUUAUAGAUGGAUCCGCGCCGCAUUAGCUAAUUGGUAAGGUAACGGCUUACCAAGGCAACGAUGCGUAGCCGACCUGAGAGGGUGAUCGGCCACACUGGAACUGAGACACGGUCCAGACUCCUACGGGAGGCAGCAGUAGGGAAUCUUCCGCAAUGGGCGAAAGCCUGACGGAGCAACGCCGCGUGAGUGAUGAAGGUCUUCGGAUCGUAAAACUCUGUUAUUAGGGAAGAACAAAUGUGUAAGUAACUAUGCACGUCUUGACGGUACCUAAUCAGAAAGCCACGGCUAACUACGUG